AGAGCGAACGCUGGCGGCAGGCCUAACACAUGCAAGUCGAGCGCCCCGCAAGGGGAGCGGCAGACGGGAGAGUAACACGUGGGAACGUACCCUUCAGUUCGGAACAACCCAGGGAAACUUGGGCUAAUACCGAAUACGUCCGUAAGGAGAAAGAUUUAUCGCUGAAGGAUCGGCCCGCGUCUGAUUAGCUAGUUGGUGAGGUAACGGCUCACCAAGGCUACGAUCAGUAGCUGGUCUGAGAGGAUGAUCAGCCUCACUGGGACUGAGACACGGCCCAGACUCCUACGGGAGGCAGCAGUGGGGAAUAUUGGACAAUGGGCGCAAGCCUGAUCCAGCCAUGCCGCGUGGAUGAUGAAGGCCUUAGGGUUGUAAAGUCCUUUCGACGGGGAAGAUAAUGACGGUACCGUAGAAGAAGCCCCGGCUAACUUCGUGCCAGCAGCCGC
rnacentral:rRNA from 1 species